AAAACCUUAAGUAUUUCCUCCAUAGCCAGCUUAUGUCUUCUUGGCCUAAUAAAUGGGAAUCUCGAUAAAUAUUUUACUGUAUUGAUUCAUUUAGAUGGAGUGGGAGUCACUAAGCAGUGGAAUAAGUUUCAAACGCAGUCCUCAAGCAAAUAUUUUAGAAAGGGCCCCUUGCCCUUAAUUCAUGUCAAAAUAUAUUCAGAAACCCUCCCACCCUGUCUCUUGCCAAAACUCAAAGGCUGCCUUGGAGAUAUUUAUGCCCCUUGGGAGAAUCUGCCAGUGUGCAGUUGUCUUUACUGGGUAGUGAGAAUACCGCAGCCCCUCCGUGUCGCCAGCUCUGGUUCAGACAGACGGGCCUGUCUUCUGCCUCCGGGACUCCUGGGUCUCCGCCAGAUCCUGGGCAGUAAGAAACUAAUACAACCUAUUGCGAGCGAUCAGAUCACGCCUGCUAGCUUGAGAGAGGAAUGACUUGGCAAAUCGAUGGCUCCGCGUGAAUCUUCAUACAGUUUCCCCGACCGACCGCCGUCCCCCCUGUUCGGGUGAGCUCACAGUAGAAUUGUUUGCGGAUUUUUCACGUACUUAUGCUAAGUGAAAAAUACAUGGUGAGAGGCUUAAAUCUAUCUAAUUACUGACGUCUUCAUACAUCUUUGUUGGGGAUUAUCCUACAGUAUUCGUGUUCUAGGACUGCUGAUACAAAGUGCCACAGACUGGGAGCUUAAACAACAGAAAUCUAUUUUCUCACAGGUCUAGAGGCUGGAAGCCCAAGAGAAAGGUAUCUUCUGAGACCUUUCUGCUUGUCUUGCGGGCGGCCUCCUUCUUGCCGUGUCCUCGCAUGGCCUUUCCUCUGUACCUGCACAUGUCUGUGUCCAAAUUUCCUCUUCUUGUAAGGACACCAGUAGUAUUGGAUGAGGACCCGUCCUAAAAUUACCAAAAAACAAUUUGAACUUAAUUACCUUUUACGUUUAUUUAUUUUGAGAGAGAGAGAGAGCAGCCUGAGCAGGGGAGGAGCAGAGAGAGAGGAGCGCGAGAAUCCCGAGCAGGCUCUGCACUGUGAGCGCAAAGCCCGUCACGGGGCUCCAUCUCGAGAACUGUGAGAUCAUGACCUGAGCUGAAAUCAAGAGUCUGACACUUAACUCGCUGAGCCACCCAGCAGCCCCUAACUUAAUUACCUUUUCACAGGCCCGAUUCCUGGUCAUUUCCCUAGGUACCGGGGGUUCAGGCUCCAACAUGUGAAUCGUGGGGGAGACACAUUCCAACCCAUAACCUCUAUACUAGCUACAGGUGGGAGAGAGUCUGUGCCAGCCAAACAGAUCAGACUGUGUAGACCACUGAAGUGACACGUCAAGACUAUUCACCAUAAUUCCACAUUCUUUCUGCUUCAGUACACUCAAGUGUACUAUGAUAUGAGUCCAUUGGAACUGUCUCGCUUUGUCACCUUCUGGCCCACAAGAAUAUGUUGCAGAGACCA
rnacentral:lncRNA from 1 species